UUGAUGCAGCCACAGGUACAGGGCAAAGGUAAAAAUUUCAACGGGUUAGGAUCUUCCAGGGGAAGUCCUGCAUUAAAGUAAAUGCGGGCAUUCUGCUUCCGUUCUGUUAGGUGCCUGCCAUCUACUGUCACUGAAGGUCACGGGCCUGAAGCGCAGUCCAAUGGGAGGCGUUGUUGUAGGAAUGUCCACGCGGGCCGGCAGACGUUAGGUGGUGGGCUUUACCUAUCUCCGACCCGCCAUCUUUCCACGUCCUGGAAUCUGUCCAGCGUUUCCACUUUCCUCGGGAGCCCAGGGAGUCUCUGUCUUGUCCUCUAGCAUCGUCGACACGUUGCUGCGGGAGCCAGAGUGAGGGUGCGGAUGUCCAGGAAGCAGGAAAUGGGCACUGCAUGACCAAACCUGAGUUGAUCUUCAAGUUGGAGCAUGGAUUUGGGCCAUGGAGUGUAGCAGAAGACUCAGUCCAAAGCCUCCCAGAUGUCCAAAAAUUGACUACCUGGAUUGAGACCAACCAGUAAAAUCACAAGAGACAUUUGGAGCAAGUUAGAAUCAUCAACAGCAAGACAUUCAAGGAAGACAUUGUUGAAGUCCAACUAAAAGUGGGACAGAAAAUUCACCAGCCGACACAAUCCUAUGAAGGAUGUAUGAAGAUGUACCAGAAGUCACACCACAUGAGAAGUCAUAUUCCUCACACAUGUAAGAAAGAUUUCAAUUAUAAAUCAGCUCUCAGCAAAUAUCAGAGGCUUCACAGAAAGGAGGUAACCUUUGUGUGUAAAGAAUACAGAAAUAUUUUCUUGUGGAGGUCAUGCCUAACUGUACAUCAGAGAACUCAUACCAGUGAGAAGGCCUGUGAAUGUAAACUGUGCAGUAAAGUGUUUUACAGCAACUCCUAUCUCACUGUGCACCAGAGAAGGCAUGCAGGCAAGAAUUUCUAUGCCUGUAUAGAAUGUGGGAAAAGAUACUACUGCUCACUCAACAUCAGAUAACUCAUACAGAUGAAAAACCUUAUGAAUGUAAACAGUGUGGAAAAGGCUUCUAUACAACAUCUGAUCUGAAUGUGAAUCAGAGAACUCAUACAGGUGAGAAAACUUAUCGAUGUACAAAAUGCUCAAAAACUUUCUCUUGCAAGUCACACCUCACUGUUCAUGAGAGAACUCAUAAAGCUCAGAAGCCAUAUGAAUAUGCAGAGUGUAUAAAAGCCUUCUAUAGCAAGUCUGACCUUAGUGUGCAUUAGAGAACUCACACAGGUGAGAAGCCCCAUGAAUGUAAACUGUGUGGAAAAGCCUUUAAUAGGUUGUCUUGUCUCACUAUGCAUCAGAGAACUCAUACAGGUGAGAAGCCACAUGAAUGUAAACAGUGU